UACGUAGGGUGCAAGCGUUGUCCGGAAUUAUUGGGCGUAAAGAGCUCGUAGGCGGUCUGUCGCGUCUGCUGUGAAAACUCGGGGCUUAACCCGGCCGCAGUGGGUACGGGCAGACUAGAGUGCGGUAGGGGAGACUGGAAUUCCUGGUGUAGCGGUGAAAUGCGCAGAUAUCAGGAGGAACACCGGUGGCGAAGGCGGGUCUCUGGGCCGUAACUGACGCUGAGGAGCGAAAGCGUGGGGAGCGAACAGG
rnacentral:rRNA from 1 species